GAAUAGGGGCAUAGGUGCACGGUGCUUGAAUGAAGCUGGAUAGAAGUGUUGAUUUAUUUUUAUAUUGAAGUUGCAUGGUCAUUUAUGAAGCAUAUAGCUUACUUCUACAAGAUAAAAUUGUUGACGGUGAUUCAAGCUUGGGGCUGUCACACUUGCAUUGACAGUGAUUAAUUGGGCAGCAGCUGCAGCAUUGUUUUAAUUCUCAUCCUUUUUAUUUUGAUCAGCACUUUUGCAAUUAAUAUCUUAGUGAUCUCGAUAGCUUUUACUUUUAAGGAUGUUUGGCUUUUAAAAAUGUGUGCUUAAGGGUACAGCUGACAUACAUUCCAUGGUUCUUGGCAGAUUUCAUUUUAAAUUAAAGCAUACAGUUGCACUUUUUUUCUUUUAAAAAUCAUGGUUAUUUCAAUUUUUUUCUUUUCCUUUAGAAAACAAGCUGCUUCAAUUUCCUUUUAUGCCCACAAAGUUGGAAUUUUCUUUUAUUGUAGAAUGGUGCGGAUUCCAAUUGUUGAAUGAUGGCAUGUUGAUCAAUUUGCAUGAGGCACAUUUAUUUAAUUUUGAAUUUCUUGUUGUUCCUUUUUCUUAGCUUAGAAUGCAUAAAUAUUUAAUUGCCGCUAGUUUUUCUUACUCAUUGUCUAUUUUGUUUGGUUUCUUUACCUUCUUGCAUUUCCAAUUUCCCACGUGCUUUAGAUAUUUGUUUAGUCUAGUAUUUGGUUUAGCAUUUUCACUCUCUGGACUCGAUU
rnacentral:lncRNA from 1 species